UACAGAGGUCCCAAGCGUUGUUCGGAUUCACUGGGCGUAAAGGGUGCGUAGGUGGCGGGGUAAGUUUGAUGUGAAAUCUCCGGGCUUAACCCGGAAACUGCAUUGAAUACUAUCCGGCUAGAGGGUUGGAGGGGGGACUGGAAUACUUGGUGUAGCAGUGAAAUGCGUUGAUAUCAAGUGGAACACCAGUGGCGAAGGCGAGUCCCUGGACAACUCCUGACACUGAGGCACGAAAGCCAGGGGAGCAAACGGG
rnacentral:rRNA from 1 species